GAUGAACGCUAGCGGCAGGCCUAACACAUGCAAGUCGAGGGGCAGCACAGGUAGCAAUACUGGGUGGCGACCGGCGGAUGGGUGCGUAACGCGUAUGCAACCUACCAUUGAUUGGGGCAUAGCCCGAAGAAAUUCGGAUUAAUACUCCAUAAUAUUCAUCAAAGGCAUCUUUUAUGAAUUAAAGCUUUUGCGAUCAAUGAUGGGCAUGCGUGACAUUAGUUAGUUGGUGAGGUAACGGCUCACCGAAAACGAUGAUGUCUAGGGGUUCUGAGAGGAUUAUCCCCCACACUGGUACUGAGACACGGACCAGACUCCUACGGGAGGCAGCAGUGAGGAAUAUUGGUCAAUGGACGCAAGUCUGAACCAGCCAUGCCGCGUGCAGGAUGACGGCCCUAUGGGUUGUAAACUGCUUUUCCACGGGAAGAACCCUCCGACGUGUCGGAGACUGACGGUACCGUGGGAAUAAGCAUCGGCUAACUCCGUG
rnacentral:rRNA from 1 species